ensembl:lncRNA
CAUGAUAGUUAAGAAAAACGAUGUCUGAAUAAUAUAUAUUCUAAUUUACUAUUAAUGACUAUAACAACUAUCUUGUAUCACGUUCUAUUUUCCUAGGUUCAAUUAAUUAUAUGGAUUCACAACAAGAACUGGAUAUAAAGUCAGAAUUAGAGGAAGAACCAAAAAGCCAUGGUAAUGGUGAGAAAUCACAGCAUGAGCACAUGUUUAAGCUGCCUUGGCCGAAGAGUGUUACACGUGAAAACUUUGAUUCUCCCGAACAAUAUUCUGAAUGUAAGGCUACCAAUGAAAGGAAAGAAUAUGAUUCAGAUAGUAAUUCAUCAGUGAUGGAUGUAAAAACUUCUUGUGUAGAAUCAAAUUUAAAAAUAGAAACAAAGGAAAAUCUUGAUGGCAAUGAAACUAGUCAACCACCUUUAUCAUUAGGAUUAACUGCAACAUCAACAGAUAUUCUAAAUGAAGGAGCGAAAGGUUUUCAAAAGACAUUCCUUGAAUUGAAGCCUCCCAUGGAAAUGAAAGAUUCUGACUCAACAGAGGCCUCAGCCAAGAUGCAUAGACAAGGAUUCCUAGCAGAUGUAGUAGACAUAAAACUGGAAACAGAGAACCAGGAUUAUCCUGAUAGCCGAGAAAAUAUUCAGUCAUCUAACACCAUUACAUCUCUUCAGUCAAAGUGCACUCCUCAUUUAUCAGUUGGAAUAACUUCAAGAUCCACGAGUCUUCUAACUGAAGGAGAGAAAGAUUUCCAUAAGAAAAACCCUGACUGGAAGCCUACCCAGUAUCUGCCUGGAAGUAAAGCUCUAGCUUCAUCGGAAGUAUCAAUGCUGAAGCACAAACAAGAAUUUCCACCAGGCUUUUGUGUUAACAAUUCUGAACAAAAGUCUUCCAUUGAAGAGAACUACGUUCCAACUAAAGAACCGGCAGUAAAGUGUGGACGAGAAUUCCCAGCAGAAGCAGACUGGAAAAUAAAAACAGACGAUUUUCAGGAAAAUCUUGAUGACAAUGAAAGUAUCCGAUCUACUAAUUCUUUUACGUGUCUUCAACCGAGGCCUAGUCCUUAUUUGUCAUUAGAAUUAACUCAAAGGUCACAGACUCUUCUAAAUGAAGGAGAGAAAGGUCCGCAUAAGAAGCAUCCUGAAGGGAAGAAAACUCCAUCAACUGAAAGAGAAGAUUCUCUUCCACUUGAGUCAUCAGUGUGGGAACAAGAACUGGAGCACCCAUCAGAAGUGGACACACAAAAGAAAGCAGACGACAACCUUAAAAAUCUUGAUGGAAGUGAAAGUUUUCAGUCAUCUGAUACCAUGCAAGAUCUUCCACUGUGCCACAUACCACCUUCAUCAACACCCAAGGAUCUUCUAAAUGAAGGAGGAAAAGAAGCUGAAUUAAAAGAUGAAUUAAUGAAAAAUCAAAACCAUCUUGAGAGCACUACUCAUAUAUCUGAUAGCGUUAUGCAUCUUCCAUCCAGGCAUAUUCCUCAUUCAUCAACAGGAAUAAGUCCAAGAGUCACAAAUCCUCCUAAGGCAGGAGAAGAAGAAGACUUACAUAUGAAACUGGAGGAAAAUCAAAUAAAUAUUGAUGGCAAUGAAAGCAUUCAAUCAUAUGAUAAUGUGAAACACCUUCAACCAAGAGGAAUCUGUCAUUUACUGAUGGGGCUCAUUCCAAGACCCAUGAAUAUUCUAAGUAGAAGAGGGAAAGGCUCUCACAAGAAAUGUGCUCCAUGUGAGAAUCCUAUUGAAAUUAAAGAGUUUGAUCCAAAUGCAAAAUUGGAAAGACAAGAAAUAAAAACAUUCACAUCAGUGAUGUUAGAAGAUGAUCAGAACCUGUGUGAUGGCAGCAAAAAUAACCAGCCAUUGAUUGAAGCAUCCCUGAAGAAACGGACAAGCCAGAAAACAGAAGAUGCGGCUCAAUUCUGUGACUGUGUGUUAGCUGCCACUGCUCAUGAUGUUUCUACUGCUUCUGUUGUUGCUGCUAUCGUUGCAGCAACUGUUGUUGCUGCAGCGGCUCCUGCCACUGCUGCUGCUGCUGCUUCUGCUGCUGUAGCUGCAGUUGUUGCUGCUGCGGCUCCUGCUGCUGCUGCGGUUGCUUCUGCCACUGCAGCUGUUGAUGCUCUUGCUGAUGUUUCUCCUGGGGCUGCACCUGACAGUUCUGCUAUACCUGUUGCUGCUGCGACUGCUGCGACUGCUGCUGCUGUUCCUGCUGCAGCUGCCGCCAGUGCCCCAGAUGCUGCUCCUGCUGUGGUUGCUGCUGCUGCUGCUGCAGCUGCUGCUGCUGUUGCAGUGACUUCGGUGGCUGCUGCUUCUCUCACUGCUGUUUCUGCUGCUUCUGUUGCUGCGGUGGUUGCUGUUGCUGUCACUGCCAGAGCUGGUUUGGAUGCUCCCACUGUUGCUCCUGCUGCUGCUGCUGCUGUUGCUGCUGUUGCUGCUGCUACUGGUCCUGCAGCGGCUGCUGCUCUUGUGGCAUCUGUUGCUGCUGCUGCUGUCACUCCUUGUGUUCCUCCUGCUGCUCCAGCGUUAGCUGCAGCCCCUUCUUCUGUUGCUGCUGCUACUGCGGCUGCUGCUGCAGUUACUACUCAUGCUGCAGCUUCACCUGCUGUAGCCGCUGCUGCAGCUGCAGCUGCUGCUGUUGCUGUUGCUGUUCCCACAGAUGCUACGACCGCUACUGCAGCUGUAGUUUCUUCUGACAUCCCUACUGCUGCACCCAUUGCUGUUUCUGUUGCUGCUGGUGGUGCUGCUGAUGCAAAAGGAAGACUCAGUCUACAAAGAAAGUAUGUGGAGGAGGAAAAGCAGCAAUAUCCUACCGAGGAAGCAGAGGAGCAUGAUGGGAUCAAAAAGACAACAUCUACAGAAAAAAAUCAGCCAGUAAAAGACAGACAUGAUUCUCAUGCGUUGACUCCGGUAACUGAAUCGUGCUCAGCAGAAUAUCUUGGUAGCCCCUUAAAAAGUACACCUGCCUUUGAUUCAUAUAAAGAGUUAUUAGAGCUUAAAGAAUUCAAUGUUCAAAUACUCACAGAAAAAACUAAAGUGGAAAAUGAAUUAUUUGAAGUAAAAGAAGAGAACUCACAGUUAGAGAAAAAAAUUGUAAGAAAGAAUGAAAGAAUCUGUACUCUGAGAUCAAUCAUAAAAGAACAAGUGGAGAAAAAAAGAAAUAUAAUUUGUGCUUAUAAUGAGGUUGUGGAGGAACUGAGAGAAAAAGAAGAGAUGAUUCAGAGAAAAGGAGAACAAUAUAACAGACAAGUUACAGAGACACAAGAGCUUGAAAUAUGUCUGAAGACAAAAGAUGUGGAGUUGAAGCAGCUACAAAAAAAAGAACAUGCACAGAAGAUGGAAGAUCACCUACAAAUUUUGGAACUAGAAAUUACCUCACUAAUAGCAACAGUGAAGAAACAGAAGGAGGAAAUUGAACAUCUGCAGAGAGAUGUGCAAAACCAGCACAAAAUCCUGGCACAGAGUUCCAAUUUUACGGAGACAGCUGCUCGGGAAAAUCAGGACACGUGGAAUAACAACACUACGGUAAUAACAGAGAUGCAAAACUUAAUCAAAAGCUUGAAGUCUGAAGUCUCCAGUGUGAAAAUCUCCAAAGAGUUCAGCAAAAAAGAACUAGAAAAGUAUAAGCGAUUCUAUCUAGAAGAAAUAAGAAAUAAAAACUUCUUAUUACAUGAACUAAACAGGACUAAUGAGAGUCAAGAACAAUCCCAUACAGAACUUCACAUGAAAUUUCAGCAAAACAUUUCUGCAUCAAAAACCCUGAAUACAAGGCUUGUUCAUGAGUGUUCUUGUGUGGAAAAAACUGAGAAACUGGAAAGCAAGGACUUCCUCCCUGGGGAAAACUUGGUGUUGCCUUCUUCCAGCACAGAAUCAACUCAUGUCUGCAUGGAGCACUACCCAUGGACGUCUGAAGAUGACAUGAGAGACCUAAGCGAAGGACUCAGUGACGUAAAACAAUUUGUUCAACUUAGUGUGGAGACUCAGAAGAAACAAGACGCUGAAGUAGGAAAAGAACGAGCUGGAAUUGGGAAAUCCUUUAAGAUGACAGAUCAUAGACAUGAUAUUGGAGACUGUGGUUCUCAUGGGGAUUUUGAAACCUGCUCACUUGAAAUGAGUACUCCAGCUACAGUGCCAGGAUGCAUGGCACAAGCAACAGGUAAACCAUGCUCAGAAUUCUUAAAGGAGAGCUAUACAACUUCAACAAUCAAUGCAAUGGAAACCAAAAUUAGAAGCCUUAAGUCGACACUCUCUAAACUGAAAGUUAGCAGGGCAUUGCGGGUAUUAGAACUGGAACGCUAUAAGUACCUCUACUAUGAAGAAUUGAGCAUUAGAAAAUCAGUUCAAUAUUACUUAAACAAGAGUAAUGAAGAUUUAGAGAUGAACAGAUCAGAGCUUUACAUGGGAACACAGCACAGCAUCUCUGCAGUAAAUGCACAAGGAAUUGGGCCUUUGACCGAGUGCUCUUCUACUGGCUGCUUUGACAGCUUUCCAGGACCCAGAAAAAGUCUCCUUCUGAGAGAAAACCAGACAGCAUCUUCCACAGACUCUCAACCAUCGACAAGUGGCCUGAAAGAUCGCCUGAAAAUGAUACAACAGGCGUCCCAAUAGAAUUAUGGAGAAGCAAAUAAAGCAAGGAAGACAAUCAACAAGAUUUCUGUUGACAGAUAUUAAACAAUUUGAAACAAUUGGAACAGUUUCUAAAUCAAAUAAAAAUAUGGAUUAUCUACUUUAAGUACCCCCC